rnacentral:rRNA from 1 species
CAAGGAAUUUUCCGCAAUGGGCGAAAGCCUGACGGAGCAACGCCGCGUGCAGGAAGACGGUUUUCGGAUUGUAAACUGCUUUUAGUGGGGACGAAAAGGACGGUACCCACUGAAUAAGCCCCGGCUAACUCCGUGCCAGCAGCCGCGGUAAUACGGAGGGGGCAAGCGUUGUCCGGAGUUACUGGGCGUAAAGCGUACGUAGGCGGCAAGAUGCGUCGGCACUGAAAGCGCCCGGCUUAACUGGGCGAGGCGUGACGAUACGAUGUUGCUAGAGGCAGUUCGAGGUUGGCAGAAUUCCGGGUGUAGUGGUGAAAUGCGUAGAGAUCCGGAGGAAUAUCUGUGGCGAAAGCGGCCAACUGGCGCUGACCUGACGCUGAGGUACGAAAGCGUGGGGAGCGAACC